rnacentral:rRNA from 1 species
UACGUAGGGUGUAAGCGUUAAUCGGAAUUACUGGGCGUAAAGCGUGCGCAGGCGGUUAUGUAAGACAGAUGUGAAAUGCCCGGGCUUAACCUGGGAACUGCAUUUGUGACUGCAUGGCUAGAGUUUGGCAGAGGGGGGUAGAAUUCCACGUGUAGCAGUGAAAUGCGUAGAUAUGUGGAGGAACACCGAUGGCGAAGGCAGCCCCCUGGGUCAAGACUGACGCUCAUGCACGAA